rnacentral:ncRNA from 1 species
UGCGAUGAGUCGAAUGGUCAGGCAAUCUUUUGAUUGUUUCGCGCAAGCGAUUUAAUGACAUUCACAUGGGACACAUAUUCCUGACGUAUUCAGGGUGUUCGGCGGUAGGAGAUUGUGGAAUCA